AUGGAUGGUGCUGCAUAUUCUUAUACAAGACAUGGGUUUAAUGUUAACAUGGAGAACUUGAGACAAGAGAGCCAAGAGGCUUGGGAGUGGCUAUGUAAGAUAGAGGUGAAAACAUGGGCUAGAUGGGCAAUGGACACUAAUUGUAAGACAGACCUGGUUGUCAACAAUUUAAGUGAAGUAUACAACAGGAUGAUCUUGGAUGUAAGGGGGAAGCCAAUCCAGAUAAUGUGUGAAGGUAUUAGGACCAAGUUGAUGGUUAAGUACAAUGAGAAAAGAAUAGGGGGCCAAAAUGCUAGGUGGGAGAUAACUCCAACAUACUCAGAGAAGUUGGAGGAGUCAAAGAAGUGGGCUAGGAACUGCAAGGCACAAAUGGCUGGUCCAGAUCUUUAUCAGGUUCAGAGUGGGGAAAAUACUUAUGCUGCAAAUUUGGCACAAAUGACUUGUGGGUGGAGAAGAUGGGACAUGACAGCAAUCCCCUUCCAUCAUGCUGUGUCUACCAUAUAUAAAUCAAAGCAUCAUCCAGAGGAUUUUGUCUCUGCAUUUUUCAAGAAAGAAAUGUACAUGGCAACAUACAAUCCUAUUAUAUUCCCAGUUCCUGGGCCUGAUUUUUGGACCAAGACACCUACCAGAGACAUUGACCCCCCAGUUUUCAAGAGGAAGAAGGGAAGAAAGCAGACCAAGAGAAGAAAUGGUCAGUUUGAGGUGCCCAAGCCCAAAGAUACAUCUAGAGUUGGCACAAUAUCAUGCAUCAAUUGUGGUAAAGAGGGUCAUAGGUACACCAACUAUGGAUAUGCACUCAAGCCAUCACUUCUGCUGAGAAAGAACAAACAUGAGCCCAAUAGGAAGAGCCAAGCAACUGCUUCUACUGCUCCAAAGCCUCCAGCUGCUCCAAAGCCCACAAGAUCUACAAGUACUUCUACUAGGAACACAAGGCAAGCAACUCCCACACCCAAGAACAAAAGGCAAUCAUCAAGUGCUGCCAGGACAAGCAGAUCAACACCCACUACAAGAGCUGCUGGUAGGGCACCUUAUGCUCCUCCAAGAGCUGUUGCAAGUCAAGCUGUUGCUGGUCCUUCACAUGGACAGAAGAGGAAGAGGAAGCCUACCAGGUGGGAUGAUUAUUUCACAGCAAGUGGAAAUCACUGA
rnacentral:rRNA from 1 species